CAACCUCUUAAUUAAAUGUUUGUUGAAUGGAAUUGAUCCUCUCCAUAAAGCUGGGAGCUACUGAGAAGGAAGGAGGGAGACAGAAGGAUGGGGUUACAGGCAUAAGCAGAACUGGAAAGGAUUAAAACAGAUGCUGCAUGGAAUGUACCAUGACGUGUACCCAAGAUGAAGAGGGGGACUAUGGAGCAGAAACAAGAGCCCAGCUGAGGUAUUGGUCUGCGUCAGUGGAAAGAAUUUUCAUAACGGGAAUUGCUUAGACCAGAGGCGUCAAGGAACCCCCAAUGCUGCCACAUAAUUGGAAUCAGGAGAACCCUUUCAAUUCUGAUGUUCUGUGUUAUAUUGGACCUGCUUCUGUCACUAAUGAAUACUAUGACUUGGCAUAAUCAAUCACCAAGCA
rnacentral:lncRNA from 1 species